CACGUAGUUAGCCGGUGCUUCUUAUCCAGGUACCGUCACCCGAAGGCUUCUUCCCUAGCGAAAGAGGUUUACAACCCGAAGGCCGUCACCCCUCACGCGGCGUCGCUGCAUCAGGCUUCCGCCCAUUGUGCAAUAUUCCCCACUGCUGCCUCCCGUAGGAGUCUGGGCCGUGUCUCAGUCCCAAUGUGGCCGUCCACCCUCUCAGGCCGGCUACCCGUCGUCGCCUUGGUAGGCCAUUACCCCACCAACAAGCUGAUAGGCCGCGGGCUCAUCCUCCACCGAAAAAACUUUCCACCAACCACACUAAAGAUUGGUCCUAUCCGGUAUUAGACCCAGUUUCCCAGGCUUAUCCCGAAGUGAAGGGCAGAUCACCCACGUGUUACUCACCCGUUCGCCACUCGAGUACCCCUGCAAGCAGGGGCCUUUCCGUUCGACUUGCAUGUGUUAAGCACGCCGCCAGCGUUCGUCCUUGAGCCAGGAUCAAACUCCU
rnacentral:rRNA from 1 species